CUUCCGAUCUGUCACACUAUGGAAAUGGGGUUCCCCACUCAGCUCCUCAUGCUCCUUUUGCUCUGGUUCCCAGGUGGCAGAUGUGACAUCCAAAUGACACAAACUCCAUCCUCCCUGUCUGCAUCUUUGGGAGACACAAUCAGCAUCAUUUGCCAGGCUAGUGAGGACAUUUAUACUACAUUAUCAUGGUACCAGCAGAAACCAGGGAAAGCUCCUAAGCUCCUGAUCUAUGGUGCAAACAGCUUGGAAGAUGGAGUCCCAUCGAGGUUCAGCGGCAGUGGGUCUGGGACGCACUAUUCUCUCACAAUCAGCAGCCUGGAGGCUGAAGAUGUGGGUGCUUAUUUCUGUCAGCAAGGUUAUGAUACUCCUCCCACAGUGGUACGUGUCAUGUCAUAAACCAUUCAGAGAAGC